CAGCUUCCUGAAGAAUGGGAAGAAAGGAGGUUCUGAAAGCACAGAUUGAACUGCGUCGCCAGAGACUGAGGAAGCGGAUGCGGGCGGCGAGGGCUCCCCCACCAACAGGAGCCCCAAGGAGAGCCGGCGCUGGAGGUGUGCAGGCCCAAGAAGGGUAGAAGUAAGUCUGUUUCUCUGGUAGGGCUUAGCGGAGGGUUAGUACUAGGUAGGGAUCGGGGGGCGGGGUGGGGCUGGGAUGGCCCCUCCUGGGCCAGAAGGCAAAGAAUGGGAGGCAGAUGGGCCAAGCAGGAGGUAGCAAGGGCAUGGCGAGGAACAUGAGCGCUUCAGCCCAAGCUGGCCUGGCCUCUCUGCUCACGCCUUCUGCCCCCCUUUCUGAAUUCUCUCAUCUCUGCUCAGGCCGGGGCCCCUCCUUCCUCCUGUCCUCUUGGCCCCGCCUUCCUUGUUAACCUCUUGUGCCGUUCCCCUCCCCUAGCUCCUGCUGUGUCCCGCCCCUGCCCACUCCGUUCUGCUUGCCUCAUUUCUGUCCAUCAUUGACAUGAUGACAACAGGAGAGUGGUAGGGUCCGAUCGUGAUAAGUGCUCUCCCUGUUCACAGAUGCCAGCCAUGAGCAAGAGCCCCCUACAGCAGCUCCCGAGCAGUCCGCCCAGGACCACCCAACGGAGGACACACAGCAGAUCUCUGUCACUUAGCAACCGCAAAAGCUGGAGCAAAGGCCGCAGAAGCUGAAGCGGCACGGGUCCAGAAGCUUUCAGAACAGCCCUGAGGAAAGGGUCUACUGAAUUACAACCAGUUUUGCCAAUGCAUGUUAUGGGAAGAGACCCCCCCUCUCCACUGGAUCCCAUCAUACCUGGAUGCCUCAUGGACCUCGAAGAUCUCCUGUCUACUUUUUUAAGCAGAUUGUUCCUGUUCCAGCUCUGGUAGUUCUGGUUAACCUUCUCUAUGAGGAAAUGUUAACUUUUUUUUCUGUCCGAGUCCUGGAUGAGGCUGUCUUCCCUGAAACUGGGUCAUUUUAGGCUAGAGGCACCUCUGAACAUUGCUGUUUCUCAGAAGUUGCCCAGUUCGUGGCACACUUGUUUCCUAUGUGAACAGGGGUCCGCUUCUGACCGCUAUGUCUCCUGGUCGGCUCCGGGUGCCUUUCCCCCCUCCCCUGCCCUGUCCCAGGUGAGACUCGCACAGUGGGGACCCUGCCUCUCCUGGUGAGGACCAUGUGCUGUGGCCGGAUGUGUGAGAGAAAGUCUGGUCAGGUGGAAUGAAUGUCUUCGUAAGUUUGGGGGUGACAGGAGCAUGGCUUCAGCCCUGGGAGAAGGUAGCUUCGAGGAGGCUCACACUCACCUCAGCCAUCCCCCUGCUUCCAGCCUCAUACCCUUCCUCUCACCUCCUCGAGGACAGUUGUUCUUUUCUUCCUUCAGUUAAAAGUAACUUUGGUUGUUGUUUUCAUUAUUGAAAAGCAGCACAUCCUUGUUAUAAAAACAUCAGAAAUAUAGGCAAAAAAAAAAAAAAAAAGAAAAAAAGGGAAAAAACCAGCCCCAAUCCUACUUACCCCAAAGACAACCAUUGAGACUCUGUUGAAGAGCCUUCGAGAUCCCUUUCACAUAUAUUAUAUGUGAUGCUAUAUACACACACUUGCACACAUAUAUGUGUGUGUAUAUAUAGAGAUAUGUGUGUGUAGAUACAUAGAAAUAUAUGCAUACACAUCUGUAUAAUUGCAUAUAUAAAUGUAACAUAUGUGGAACUGCAGUGUCACGAUGCAACAUAUAUUCUUUGGUUACACACAUUAUCAUUUAAUGCCUUAUCAUGAGCGUUAGCUUUCUAUAUCAAUACGCUUUUUUUUUAAUGAUUAAGUAAUGCCUUUAAUUACAGAAGAGACAAACGAGACCAGAAAUAUCAAGUAAUUUUCAAAAAAUGAGGGCGCUAAGUCAUUUAGUAUGAGGAAACAAAGCCGAGUAGAUACAGCUCAAAGAAUGCACAUCCCCAUUU
rnacentral:lncRNA from 1 species